rnacentral:lncRNA from 1 species
ACCCAACACAAGAUCAUUCAAGAGAGAAGAAAGAAAAAGAGGUUCAAGGGAGUUAGUGCAUUCAAGUGAAGAAAUCAAGUGCCUUCAAGCUUCCCAAGUGAUUUCGUGCUCAACUACUCUCUUCCGCUAGGCAUUCAAAGUUCACAUUCAAGCCAACGCGAUCCACAUCGGAAGAACCACCAUUUCCCACGCUUCCAACGGCUAAAAGGGUUCUUCCGGAUUUCAUUGUUUAUCAUUGUUAUAUUUGCUUAUUUAGAGCUUUCAAAUCUUUUGUAAAACUUUUUCAAUAUUGUGCUUGUUCCAGUCAAGGGACUUGGAACAAGGGAAAGGCGUCCCAAGCCUAGGUGAAAUUGGGGGUUUUAGGGUUCGUUGUUAGCCCGGUGUAAAACAACGAGUUGGG